AGAUUGAACGCUGGCGGCAGGCCUAACACAUGCAAGUCGAGCGGCAGCACGGGUACUUGUACCUGGUGGCGAGCGGCGGACGGGUGAGUAAUGCCUAGGAAUCUGCCUGGUAGUGGGGGAUAACGCUCGGAAACGGACGCUAAUACCGCAUACGUCCUACGGGAGAAAGCAGGGGACCUUCGGGCCUUGCGCUAUCAGAUGAGCCUAGGUCGGAUUAGCUAGUU
rnacentral:rRNA from 1 species